rnacentral:rRNA from 1 species
GAUGAACGCUGGCGGCGUGCCUAAUACAUGCAAGUCGAGCGAACAGACGAGGAGCUUGCUCCUCUGACGUUAGCGGCGGACGGGUGAGUAACACGUGGAUAACCUACCUAUAAGACUGGGAUAACUUCGGGAAACCGGAGCUAAUACCGGAUAAUAUAUUGAACCGCAUGGUUCAAUAGUGAAAGACGGUUUUGCUGUCACUUAUAGAUGGAUCCGCGCCGCAUUAGCUAGUUGGUAAGGUAACGGAUUACCAAGGCAACGAUGCGAAGCCGACCUGAGGGGGUGAGCGGCAACACGGGAACGGAGACAAGGACCAAAAGCGUACGGGAGGCAGCAGUAGGGAAUCUUCCGGAAGGGGCGAAAGCCAAAAGGAGAAACGCGGCGUGAGUGAGGAAGGUCUUCGGAGCGUAAAACUCUGUGAUUAGGGAAGAACAAAUGUGUAAGUAACUAUAAACGUCUGAACGGUACCUAAGCAGAAAGCCACGGCUAACUACGU